rnacentral:rRNA from 1 species
UACGAAGGGGGCUAGCGUUGUUCGGAAUUACUGGGCGUAAAGCGCACGUAGGCGGGUAUUUAAGUCAGGGGUGGAAUCCCAGAGCUCAACUCUGGAACUGCCUUUGAUACUGGGUACCUAGAGUAUGGAAGAGGUGAGUGGAAUUCCGAGUGUAGAGGUGAAAUUCGUAGAUAUUCGGAGGAACACCAGUGGCGAAGGCGGCUCACUGGUCCAUUACUGACGCUGAGGUGCGAAAGCGUGGGGAGCAAACAGG